rnacentral:rRNA from 1 species
GGAAUUGUUCGCAAUGGGCGCAAGCCUGACGACGCAACGCCGCGUGGAGGAUGAAGCUCUUCGGGUCGUAAACUCCUUUCGAUUGGGACGAACGGCCUUCGGGUGAACAAUCCGGAGGCGUGACGGUACCGAGAGAAGAAGCCCCGGCUAACUACGUGCCAGCAGCCGCGGUAAUACGGGGGGGGCAAGCGUUGUUCGGAAUUACUGGGCGUAAAGGGCUCGUAGGCGGCCAACUAAGUCAGACGUGAAAUCCCCCGGCUCAACCGGGGAACUGCGUCUGAUACUGGAUGGCUCGAGUUUGGGAGAGGGAUGCGGAAUUCCAGGUGUAGCGGUGAAAUGCGUAGAUAUCUGGAGGAACACCGGUGGCGAAGGCGGCAUCCUGGACCAAUACUGACGCUGAGGAGCGAAAGCCAGGGGAGCAAAC